UGAGUAACGGCGAGCGAAAAGGGAGAGCCCAGCGCCGAAKCCCGCUCUCGAGAGGGAGCCGGGCAAUGUGGCGUUUAGGAGUGAGCGUGCCGGCGGUUGACUCUGCAGCAAGUCCCCCUGACCGGGGCUGUAACCCAGAGUGGGUGCGAGGCCCAUAGCUGCUAGGUCUCCGUCGAAUGCGAUCUCCUUGGAGUCGGGUUGCUUGGGAGUGCAGCCCUAAUCGGGUGGUAAACUCCACCUAAGGCUAAAUACGGCCGUGAGACCGAUAGCAAACAAGUACCGUGAGGGAAAGUUGCAAAGAACUUUGAAGAGAGAGUUCAAGAGUACGUGAAACUGCUCAGAGGCAAACGGGUGGGCCCUCGAAAUCCUGUGGCGGGAGGAUUCAGUUUUGUGGCGUGGACUCUGUGUUUGAGACUUAUUUAUGGUUCCGCGGAGGCGGCCUCUCAGAUGCAGGGCUUUCGCGCUACAGAACGCAUUUGUUUCCCGUCCGAAGGACCCCGCAACCGGUUACGAAACGGCCUUAAGGGCACCUGACGGCAGUUGGCCGGUGGUUCGCUUCGGUGGAUCGUCGGCUGUUAGCCAAGGUGUCGCACGGCUCGUAUCGUGACCGUGGUGUCSCAAGGCCUACUUAGGCUUCUUCGCCUCCUCCGUUCGCGGACGCCUGGAACGGUGGCAGGGGUGAGCACUUUUGCGGGCGCACGGCCUGACUCCGUGGCCCAGCGGAAGAAAGCUUCCUCGUUGGCUGUUAUUUACCUUUGACCCGUC
rnacentral:rRNA from 1 species